UAGGGAAUCUUCCACAAUGGGCGAAAGCCUGAUGGAGCAACGCCGCGUGUGUGAUGAAGGGUUUCGGCUCGUAAACACUGUUGUAAGAGAAGAAUGACAUUGAGAGUAACUGUUCAAUGUGUGACGGUAUCUUACCAGAAAGGAACGGCUAAAUACGUUCCAG
rnacentral:rRNA from 1 species